rnacentral:rRNA from 1 species
GACGAACGCUGGCGGCGUGCUUAAUACAUGCAAGUCGAACGCAGUGGGGACGGGUGAGUAACACGUGGGUAACCUCCCAUCAGAGGGGAUAACACUUGGCAACAGGUGCUAAACCGAUACUGAUGGAUGGACCCGCGGGGCAUUAGCUAGUUGGGGAGGUAACGGCUCACCAAGGCCACGAUGCAUAGCCGAUCUGAGAGUGUGAUCGGCACAACGGGGACGGAGACACGGCCCAGACUCCUACGGGAGGCAGCAGUAGGGAAGCUUGGUCAAUGGACGAAAGCCUGACGGAGCAACGCCGCGUGAGUGAAGAAGGUUUUCGGAUCGUAAAGCUCUGUUGUUAGAGAAGCGGUAUCUAACCAGAAAGCAACGGCUAACUACGUGCCAGCAGCCGCGGUAAUAC